rnacentral:rRNA from 1 species
CUGGUUGAUCCUGCCAGAGGUUACUGCUAUCGGGGUCCGACUAAGCCAUGCGAGUUGAGAGGGGUAAGCCCUCGGCAUACUGCUCAGUAACACGCGGAUAACCUGCCCUUGGGUCCGGGAUAACCCCGGGAAACUGGGACUAAUACCGGAUAGAUCAGAGAAACUGGAAUGUUCUCUGGUCCAAAACUCCGGUGCCCAAGGAUGGGUCUGCGGCCUAUCAGGUAGUAGUGGGUGUAACGUACCUACUAGCCAGCGACGGGUAAGGGUUGUGAGAGCAAGAUCCCUGAGAUGGAUUCUGAGACAUGAAUCCAGGCCCUACGGGGUGCAGCAGGCGCGAAAACUUUACACUGCUAGAAAUAGCGAUAAGGGGACCCCGAGUGCCAGUACCUAGUGCUGGCUGUCCCGCUGUCCAAACAACAGUGGUUAGCAAGGGCCGGGCAAGACCGGUGCCAGCCGCCGCGGUAACACCGGCGGCCCGAGUGGUAGCCGUUAUUAUUGGGUUUAAAGGGUCCGUAGCCGGCCUAUUAAGUCUCUUGGGAAAUCUGGCGACUUAAUCGUCAGGCGUCCAAGAGAUACUGAUAGGCUUGGGACCGGGAGAGGUGGGAGGUACUCCAGGGGUAGGGGUGAAAUCUCGUAAUCCUUGGGGGACCACCGAUGGCGAAGGCAUCCCACCAGAACGGGUCCGACGGUGAGGGAUGAAAGCUGGGGGCACGAACCGGAUUAGAUACCCGGGUAGUCCCAGCUGUAAACGAUGCUCGCUAGGUGUCAGGUGCGGUGCGACCGCACCUGGUGCCGCAGUGAAAACUUGAAGCGAGUCACCUGGGAAGUACGGUCGCAAGGCUGAAACUUAAAGGAAUUGGCGGGGGAGCACUACAACGGGUGGAGCCUGCGGUUCAAUUGGAUUCAACGCCGGG